rnacentral:rRNA from 1 species
GAUGAACGCUGGCGGCGUGCCUAAUACAUGCAAGUCGAGCGAACAGACGAGGAGCUUGCUCCCCUGACGUUAGCGGCGGACGGGUGAGUAACACGUGGAUAACCUACCUAUAAGACUGGGAUAACUUCGGGAAACCGGAGCUAAUAUCGGAUAAUAUAUUGAACCGCAUGGUUCAAAAGUGAAAGACGGUUUUGCUGUGACUUAUAGAUGGUUCCGCGCCGCAUUAGCUAGUUGGUAAGGUAACGGCUUACCAAGGCGACGAUGCGUAGCCGACCUGAGAGGAUGAUCAGCCACACUGGAACUGAGACACGGUCCAGACUCCUACGGGAGGCAGCAGUGGGGAAUCUUGCGCAAUGGGCGAAAGCCUGACGGAGCAACGCCGCGUGAGUGAUGAAGGUCUUCGGGUCGUAAAACGCUGUUGUUAGGGAAGAACAAAUGUGUGAUAAACUAUGCACGUCUUGACGGUACCUGAUCAAUAAGCCACGGCUAACUACGUG